rnacentral:rRNA from 1 species
GAUGAACGCUGGCGGCGUGCUUAACACAUGCAAGUCGAGCGGACUUUACCUUCGGGUAAAGUUAGCGGCGGACGGGUGAGUAACGUGUGGGUAACCUGCCUUGUACAGAGGGAUAAUCAUGUGAAAACGUGACUAAUACCGCAUGUCAUCAUUUAGCUGCAUGGCUGAAUGAGAAAAGGAGCAAUCCGGUACAAGAUGGACCCGCAUCUGAUUAGCUAGUUGGUGAGAUAACAGCCCACCAAGGCAACGAUCAGUAGCCGACCUGAGAGGGUGAUCGGCCACAUUGGGACUGAGACACGGCCCAAACUCCUACGGGAGGCAGCAGUGGGGAAUAUUGCACAAUGGGCGAAAGCCUGAUGCAGCAACGCCGCGUGAAGGAAGAAGGGUUUCGGCUCGUAAACUUCUAUCAAUAGGGAAGAAAGAAAUGACGGUACCUAAAUAAGAAGCCCCGGCUAACUACGUG